rnacentral:rRNA from 1 species
AGAGUUUGAUCAUGGCUCAGGACGAACGCUGGCGGCGUGCUUAACACAUGCAAGUCGAACGGAAAGGCCCCUUCGGGGGUACUCGAGUGGCGAACGGGUGAGUAACACGUGGGUGAUCUGCCCUGCACUUUGGGAUAAGCCUGGGAAACUGGGUCUAAUACCGAAUAGGACCGCAUGCUUCAUGGUGUGUGGUGGAAAGCUUUUGCGGUGUGGGAUGGGCCCGCGGCCUAUCAGCUUGUUGGUGGGGUAAUGGCCUACCAAGGCGACGACGGGUAGCCGGCCUGAGAGGGUGUCCGGCCACACUGGGACUGAGAUACGGCCCAGACUCCUACGGGAGGCAGCAGUGGGGAAUAUUGCACAAUGGGCGCAAGCCUGAUGCAGCGACGCCGCGUGGGGGAUGACGGCCUUCGGGUUGUAAACCUCCUUCAGUAUCGGCGAAGCUCCAGGAUUUUUCUUGGGGUGACGGUAGGUACAGAAGAAGCACCGGCCAACUACGUGCCAGCAGCCGCGGUAAUACGUAGGGUGCGAGCGUUGUCCGGAAUUACUGGGCGUAAAGAGCUCGUAGGUGGUUUGUCACGUUGUCUGUGAAAACUCACAGCUUAACUGUGGGCGUGCGGGCGAUACGGGCAGACUGGAGUACUGUAGGGGAGACUGGAAUUCCUGGUGUAGCGGUGGAAUGCGCAGAUAUCAGGAGGAACACCGGUGGCGAAGGCGGGUCUCCGGGCAGUAACUGACGCUGAGGAGCGAAAGCGUGGGGAGCGAACAGGAUUAGAUACCCUGGUAGUCCAA